rnacentral:rRNA from 1 species
UACAGAGGGUGCGAGCGUUGUCCGGAAUCACUGGGCGUAAAGGGCGCGUAGGCGGCCUGAUAAGUAGGGGGUGAAAUCCUGUGGCUUAACUGCAGGGCUGCCUCCUAGACUGUUAGGCUCGAGCACGGUAGAGGCAGAUGGAAUUCCCGGUGUAGCGGUGGAAUGCGUAGAGAUCGGGAAGAACACCCGUGGCGAAGGCGGCUCUCUGGACGGUACUGACGCUGAGACGCGAAAGCGUGGGGAGCGAACAGG